rnacentral:rRNA from 1 species
GCGGCGUGCCUAAUACAUGCAAGUCGAGCGCAUGAAGCUAACCGAUCCCCUUCGGGGGUGACGUUAAUGGAAUGAGCGGCGGACGGGUGAGUAACACGUGGGCAACCUGCCUGUAAGACCGGAAUAACCCCGGGAAACCGGGGCUAAUGCCGGAUAAUCUCUUCUCUCUCAUGAGGAAAGAGUAAAAGAUGGCCUUUGGCUAUCACUUACAGAUGGGCCCGCGGCGCAUUAACUAGUUGGUGAGGUAACGGCUCACCAAGGCGACGAUGCGUAGCCGACCUGAGAGGGUGAUCGGCCACACUGGGACUGACACACGGCCCAAACUCCUACGGGAGGCAGCAGUAGGGAAUCUUCCGCAAUGGACGAAAGUCUGACGGAGCAACGCCGCGUGAACUAUGAAGGUUUUCGGAUCGUAAAGUUCUGUUGUGAGGGAAGAACAAGUACCGUGCGAAUAGAGCGGUACCUUGACGGUACCUCACGAGAAAGCCCCGGCUAACUACGUGCCAGCAGCCGCGGUAACACGUACGGGGCAAGCGUUGUCCGGAAUUAUUGGGCGUAAAGCGCGCGCAUGCGGUUCCUUAAGUCUGAUGUGAAAGCCCACGGCUCAGCCGUGUAGGGUCAUUGGAAACUGGGGAACUUGAUGACAGAACAGGAGAGUGGAAUUCCACGUGUAACGGUGAAAUGCAUACAUAUGUGGAGGAACACCAGUGGCGAAGGCGACUCUUUGGUCUGUCUCUGACGCUGGAGGUGCGAAAGCGAUGAGUAGCACACAGGAUUCGAUACCCUGGACAGUCCACGCUGUAUACUAUGAGUGCUACGUGCUCAUGAGGGCUUCCACUCACUUAGUGCUGAAGUUCACCGCAUUAAAGCACUCGCGCCCUGAGGCAGUACCGUCCGCAAGAGCUGAAACUCAAACG